GUAUCUUUACUUUUACUUAAGUAUAACAAUGUAGUAUUUUUUCACCACUGUUCGUUCUAUCAUUGCGCUGCCUAGAUGCAGUAUCUAGCAAGUGUUUGCAACGUAGCUUGCCUAGGCCUAGUGCUGCAAACAGACAGGGCUGCAAAUGGCAAUAUCUCAACACGGUUCCGUGCUUAAACGUUGAAUGCAUUGACCUACUGGCGCUCCCGAAGUGCGAGAUGGUUCCUAAUCGUGCAGUUUGUUGCUAUACAUUGCAAUGCUAUAGCGUGACACACCAGUGACAGAUGUCCAACCAGCAUCCCGCAUCCUUUUCAUUGCAGCGAGCUUUAAAGUACUCCCAGGUGAUUUCUGAAUGGCAGGGCUCUGGAUCUGAAACAUUAGACUAAUACUGACGUGGACAUCACAGCAUUAACUACUUUUCAGUUACAGACUAUAUUUUACAAGUUGCAGAGUAUAGACUAUACCAUACAAUGCAAUAUGGUAUUUCACAACUUAUUUCAUAAUGCAGAGGGUGUACUGCCAAGUAAGUCAAGUAUUUGGUGUUAAUGUAAGGCUGGCUCAUUCUACCUUCCUGAAUAUGUCCACUUUUUGAUUCUGUGCUGCUGGGACACUUGGCUGCAGGCGGCUCUUGAAUGGAUCAGUUGCAACUGCAAUGCUC